AACGAACGCUGGCGGCGCGUCUUAAGCAUGCAAGUCGAGCGGCAAGGGGGAGCAAUCCCCCCUAGAGCGGCGGACUGGUGAGUAACACGUGGGUGAUCUACCUCGGGGAUGGGGAUAGCCUGUGGAAACACAGGAUAAUACCGAAUACGUCGGCGGGAUCGCGGUCCCGUCGGGAAAGGCCCGUAUGGGCCGCCUUGAGAUGAGCCUGCGGCUGAUUAGCUUGUUGGCGGGGUAACGGCCCACCAAGGCGAUGAUCAGUAGCCGGACUGAGAGGUUGAACGGCCACAUUGGGACUGAGAUACGGCCCAAACUCCUACGGGAGGCUG
rnacentral:rRNA from 1 species